UCUAGAUGAUGUAAAAGAAUACUGGCUAUCUGAAAGAUGGUGAUGACACUUUAAAAAAUAAA
rnacentral:snoRNA from 1 species